rnacentral:rRNA from 1 species
CAGUCGAGCGAACAGACGAGGAGCUUGCUCCUCUGACGUUAGCGGCGGACGGGUGAGUAACACGUGGAUAACCUACCUAUAAGACUGGGAUAACUUCGGGAAACCGGAGCUAAUACCGGAUAAUAUAUUGAACCGCAUGGUUCAAUAGUGAAAGACGGUUUUGCUGUCACUUAUAGAUGGAUCCGCGCCGCAUUAGCUAGUUGGUAAGGUAACGGCUUACCAAGGCAACGAUGCGUAGCCGACCUGAGAGGGUGAUCGGCCACACUGGAACUGAGACACGGUCCAGACUCCUACGGGAGGCAGCAGUAGGGAAUCUUCCGCAAUGGGCGAAAGCCUGACGGAGCAACGCCGCGUGAGUGAUGAAGGUCUUCGGAUCGUAAAACUCUGUUAUUAGGGAAGAACAAAUGUGUAAGUAACUAUGCACGUCUUGACGGUACCUAAUCAGAAAGCCACGGCUAACUACGUGCCAGCAGCCGCGGUAAUACGUAGGUGGCAAGCGUUAUCCGGAAUUAUUGGGCGUAAAGCGCGCGUAGGCGGUUUUUUAAGUCUGAUGUGAAAGCCCACGGCUCAACCGUGGAGGGUCAUUGGAAACUGGAAAACUUGAGUGCAGAAGAGGAAAGUGGAAUUCCAUGUGUAGCGGUGAAAUGCGCAGAGAUAUGGAGGAACACCAGUGGCGAAAGGCGACUUUCUGGUCUGUAACUGACGCUGAUGUGCGAAAGCGUGGGGAUCAACAGGAUUAGAUACCCUGGUAGUCCACGCCGUAACGAUGA